rnacentral:tRNA from 1 species
UCACUAGAAAACUUUUAAGUCUAGGUCUUUUAAACCUAAAAUAAGCAGACGCCCUGCUACUAGUG